rnacentral:rRNA from 1 species
AACGCGAAGAACCUUACCUGGGCUUGAACUACUCGUGGUAGUUCGAUGGAAACAUUGAGCGACCCGCAAGGGAGCGAGCAGAGGUGCUGCAUGGUUGUCGUCAGCUCGUGUCGUGAGAUGUUGGGUUAAGUCCCGCAACGAGCGCAACCCCUGUGUCCUGUUGCCACCACACUUCGGUGUGAGCACUCUGGACAGACUGCCUCGCUUCAACGAGGAGGAAGGUGGGGAUGACGUCAAGUCAGUAUGGCCCUUACGGCCAGGGCUGCACACGUACUACAAUGCCCGGCACAAAGGGAAGCAAGAGCGUAAGCUGGAGCAAAUCCCCAAAAACCGGGCCCAGUUCAGAUUGUCGUCUGCAACUCGACGGCAUGAAGCUGGAAUCGCUAGUAAUGGCGCAUCAGCUACGGCGCCGUGAAUACGUUCCCGGGCCUUGUACACACCGGCUAC